UACGAAGGGAGCUAGCGUUGUCCGGAAUUAUUGGGCGUAAAGAGCUCGUAGGCGGUCUGUCACGUCGGCUGUGAAAACCCGAGGCUCAACCUCGGGCCUGCAGUCGAUACGGGCAGACUAGAGUUCGGUAGGGGAGACUGGAAUUCCUGGUGUAGCGGUGAAAUGCGCAGAUAUCGGGAGGAACACCGGUGGCGAAGGCGGUUCUCUGGGCCUGUGCUGACGCUGAGGAGCGAAAGCGUGGGGAGCGAACAGG
rnacentral:rRNA from 1 species